CCCAAGUUCCACAACAAAAGAAAACCCGAAGCGUGUGCAGGACGAACAAUGGACGGAGCUAGUUGAUGCUGAGUUUCAUGGCCGUAAUGAAUACAUGGAUCAAAUUGAUGAGCUGAAAAAGAAAUCUCGUUUCUCAACGAGCAAAUUCGGAAUUCUACCUUUGAUCUAGAAAUUGAGAGACGUGAUUUCGAUGACAGAAUUUCCGAAAAAGAUGCUACAAUUCUUCGCUUACAAGAAGAAGUAAAGUCCCUGAAAGAGAUGAAUCCCCUGGCCUUGUCCAAAAGUCUUAAUGAAGGGUUGGUUAUACUGCAGUCCACUUUGGAAACCUUGACAAUUAGUCAACUUAAUUCUGAACAAUCACGUGUUCAGUUGCAAAGUGAAAGCAGUAGAAGAACCAACAAAGUCAAGCUUCACAAAGAUUAUGACACAACUAUUAAUCAAAAUGAGCUAGCAAUCGCAGUGUCCUAUGGGAAGUCUGGUUCAAAAAAAAGGACAUGAGCAAAAUGAUCAAUGUGAUCAUGGAAGCACUGUGGGACAGGGAAUUCAUGUCCAAACACAGCCUUACCGGAAAGAAGGCACCCACUGACAAGUCAAAUAAUCCGGCGAAAGAGGCCCUUCCUAAGGAUGAUGUACAAGCAAUUACGAGUUUCGUUGUGGAGUUUUGGGCAACCAAACACAAGUUGGCAAUCGAUCCAUCCAUGGUCCACCCUUGCAUCACAUCCAAACUUCUAGGGGAGCAUACGGCUAACAAGUCAAGAGAGAAAUUGGUCGUGGAAGACGAUGACGAUGACCAACAAUUACAGCAAUAAAUCGGCGAAAAUUUCUUCAAGACCACGUUCAAGACGACGUUUAUGUGUAGCCCCACUUUCGAGUUCAACAGAUAUCCUGUUCGUUCAGUCAUUCUUUUCUUUAUCAAUUUUCUACUUUUUUUAUUUUUCAUUUUCAACUUCUUUGAAUAAUCUCCUCCAUCGCGCAGUAUGGUCACGUCGACACGACGGCAAUUAUUGCUCUUUUCCGAUGACCCUCCUACUCCUCUCUCUAUCAUCCUUUCAGCGCUUUCAGCUUCUUAAGACCAAGAGGUCAUUUUUUCCCUGCCGUUUCUCUCUUCAAAUUCAAAAUUGAUUGUACGUAUGUUCGUUACGUUUUAGUUAACGUCAUUUAAAAAACAUCUAAUCAUGUCGUAAUUGAGUUUCGAGUCCAUGUUGCCGUGAAAUCUCUCGAGUUCAGUGUGUUGACGAGAAAACUCCCCUCCUGCAUCUCCUACAUUUUCCUCAUUUGUAAUAUUGGUUGACUUUAAAGGUUUAAAUGUCGGGCAGUCUGUCCAUUUGCUCGUCGACGACACCUCCGACGAAUUGCCGUUGCUGAAAAUUGUCGUUUUUUAUUGAUGUUAAAUUGAAUUAACGCGGAAGUGGCCAAAACUGUAAUUGAACUUAGAUAUUGCUCGUAUUCUUAUUGUGUUCAUUUUAAAUGUAAAAAUGUAUGUGUGGUGUGUUUUAAUCGAUGUCCCUCCAAGGCCUACUUGUAACAUGGAAAAGAAUUUGAUUAAACCAAAGAUGGUUUAAUUUCAAUACAAAGAUUUCAGUUCCUUUAAAGCUAA
rnacentral:lncRNA from 1 species